rnacentral:rRNA from 1 species
CCUACGGGGGGCAGCAGUGAGGAAUAUUGGUCAAUGGACGAGAGUCUGAACCAGCCAAGUAGCGUGAAGGAUGACUGCCCUAUGGGUUGUAAACUUCUUUUAUAUGGGAAUAAAAUGUUCCACGUGUGGGAUUUUGUAUGUACCAUAUGAAUAAGGAUCGGCUAACUCCGUGCCAGCAGCCGCGGUAAUACGGAGGAUCCGAGCGUUAUCCGGAUUUAUUGGGUUUAAAGGGAGCGUAGGUGGAUUGUUAAGUCAGUUGUGAAAGUUUGCGGCUCAACCGUAAAAUUGCAGUUGAAACUGGCAGUCUUGAGUACAGUAGAGGUGGGCGGAAUUCGUGGUGUAGCGGUGAAAUGCUUAGAUAUCACGAAGAACUCCGAUGGCGAAGGCAGUUCACUGGACUGCAACUGACACUGAGGCGCGAAAGUGUGGGUAUCAAACAGGAUUAGAUACCCUAGUAGUC